rnacentral:tRNA from 1 species
UAGAAUAAAGCUCGCUGGAUAGAGUAUUUAGCUGUUAACUAAAAUAUUACGGGAUCAAGACCCGUUAUUCUAG